UCUCAUGAUCUGUCUUGCCAUCAUAUGUCCACUAGUAUGUGCCCCACAUAUUCCAUCAUGCACCUCUUUAAUGAUUUUCUUCGCUUCAGUCUCAUUUACGCACCUCAAUAAUACUUGAUCCUUGCUUCUUUUGUACAGGACAUCCCCAUCCAGGAAAAAGCUCAUAGCCAAUCUUCGGAUGACCCUUUUAUCAUUUUUUGUU
rnacentral:lncRNA from 1 species